rnacentral:lncRNA from 1 species
CUAGUGCUUAUGUUUGGCAUUGUCGCGCCAAGACAAUUUUGCCAACUUGAAAACCCUGUAUAAUCAGCGUUGUAGCGCUAAUCUUAGGCCAAGACCUGGCGCUGUUGCGUCAGACCGAAUUAUCAGUUCAUCAGGGUUGGGUAAUGGUGAGUUGGGUCGGGUCAAACGGGUCAGAAAUGAAUUUAUUUUAUUGAGUAAUUAAAAUAAUAUUAAGAUAUUAUUUUAAUUAAUUAUUAUCUUAACUAUGAUUGAACCA